rnacentral:pre_miRNA from 2 species
GAAAACUUAGAAACUACCGUUGGAUCGAGAAAUGGAUGUCCGAGAUUCGUCCACGUCACCAUGAGUUAAAAUUUAACUCCCAAAUUAACUCAUGGUGACGUGGAUGAAUUUCGGACGUACAUUUCUCGAUCCAACGGUAGUUUUCAAACUUUC